rnacentral:sRNA from 1 species
CGUGGUAGGUCAGUGCUGGGGGCAGCCAGGCCUGGAGUGUUGGAGGCCUCUGCCGGUCCCCUUGUCUCCUUGCUCUAGAAUUCCAAGGGGCAUCCUUUCUUGGUGAGGUCAUUUCUUUAUUGUGGGGUCAGCCCCCUGCUCUGAUUGGGCUGUUUCUCUGGGGUCUUGGGCCUUCCUCUGUGAGUGGCCACUUCUUCAUCUGCGGGAGGUUGGAGGAGAGAGCCCUUCCCAGCCCACCCGGUCCCUGAUCUCUUUCGCUGCAGCCGGGUGUUCCCAGACAAGGAGGUCAUGCUCGAUGCUGCCUUAGCGCUGGCGGCCGAGAUUUCCAGCAAGAGCCCUGUGGCGGUGCAGAGCACCAAGGUCAACCUGCUCUAUUCCCGCGACCAUUCGGUGGCCGAGAGCCUCAACUACGUGGCGUCCUGGAACAUGAGCAUGCUGCAGACCCAGGACCUCAUGAAGUCGGUCCAGGCCGCGACUGAAAACAAGGAACUGAAAAGCGUCACCUUCUCCAAGCUCUGAGAGCUCUCGCGUCCCAGGCCCCAGCCAGGGGUCUGGCCUUGUCCCGCCUCAUCCGCAGAAAGGGAGGAUGGGCGAUGACGGUUGUCUCUAUGCCUUCUCACCCAGUCUCCCAGUUUAUAACUUUAUGACAAUGAGUUUCUCAAGCCCAAGGCCUUAUCUUCACCCCACAAACAAUAAAGCAAAGUAAAGAA